rnacentral:rRNA from 1 species
CCCGCUGAACUUAAGCAUAUCAAUAAGCGGAGGAAAAGAAACCAACAAGGAUUGCCUCAGUAACGGCGAGUGAAGCGGCAACAGCUCAAAUUUGAAAUCUGGCUCUUUCAGAGUCCGAGUUGUAAUUUGCAGAGGAUGCUUCGGCUUUGGCGUCAUCCAAAGUUCCUUGGAACAGGAUGUCAUAGAGGGUGAGAGCCCCGUGUCCGGGUGGAUGCCUUUGCCAUGUGAAGCUCCUUCGACGAGUCGAGUUGUUUGGGAAUGCAGCUCAAAACGGGAGGUAAAUUUCUUCCAAAGCUAAAUACCGGCUGGAGACCGAUAGUGCACAAGUAGAGUGAUCGAAAGAUGAAAAGCACUUUGGAAAGAGAGUUAAACAGCGCGUGAAAUUGUUGAAAGGGAAGCGCUUGCUGCCAGACUCGCCCGUCGUUGCUCGGCGGGGCCUCGUGCCCCGUUUACUCUUCGGCGGGUGGGCCAGCAUCGACUCGGGCGGCCGGACAAAGGUCGUGGGAAUGUGGCUCCCCCGGGAGUGUUAUAGCCCGCGGCGCAAUGCGGCCUGCCUGGGUCGAGGACUGCGCAUCUGCUCGGAUGCUGGCGUAAUGGCCGCAAGCGGCCCGUCUUGAAACACGG